UACGUAGGGGGCGAGCGUUGUCCGGAAUCACUGGGCGUAAAGGGCGCGUAGGCGGCCUGAUAAGUAGGGGGUGAAAUCCUGCGGCUUAACCGCAGGGCUGCCUUCUAAACUGUCAGGCUGGAGCACAGUAGAGGCAGGUGGAAUUCCCGGUGUAGCGGUGGAAUGCGUAGAGAUCGGGAAGAACAUCAGUGGCGAAGGCGGCCUGCUGGGCUGUUGCUGACGCUGAGGCGCGACAGCGUGGGGAGCAAACAGG
rnacentral:rRNA from 1 species